AGAAUCAACGCUGGCGGCGUGCCUAACACAUGCAAGUCGCACGAGAAAGGGGCUUCGGCCCUGAGUAAAGUGGCGCACGGGUGAGUAACACGUGAAUUAUCUACCUCCGAGUGGGGAAUAACUGAGAGAAAUCUUAGCUAAUACCGCAUAACACUCACGAGUCAAAGCAGCAAUGCGCUUGGAGAGGAGUUCGCGGCCGAUUAGUUAGUUGGCGGGGUAAUGGCCCACCAAGACGAUGAUCGGUA
rnacentral:rRNA from 1 species